rnacentral:rRNA from 1 species
UACGGGGGGAGCAAGCGUUGUUCGGAUUUACUGGGCGUAAAGGGCGCGUAGGCGGUCAGCACAAGUCAGUUGUGAAAUCUCCGGGCUUAACUCGGAAAGGUCAACUGAUACUGUGCGACUAGAGUGCGGAAGGGGCAACUGGAAUUCCCAGUGUAGCGGUGAAAUGCGUAGAUAUUGGGAGGAACACCGGUGGCGAAGGCGGCUCUCUGGACCGGUACUGACGCUGAGACGCGAAAGCCAGGGGAGCGAACGGG